CAAUUGAAAGGGGUCUCCGGUUGGGUGAACCAGCGGAGGGUCAUUAACGAGUUUUUUCAACUCCCUAACCCUUUGUGAACAUACCUAUCGUUGCUUCGGCGGACUCGCCCCGGCGUCCGGACGGCCCUGCGCCGCCCGCGACCCGGACCCAGGCGGCCGCCGGAGACCCACAAAUUCUGUUUCUAUCAGUCUUUCUGAAUCCGCCGCAAGGCAAAACAAAUGAAUCAAAACUUUCAACAACGGAUCUCUUGGUUCUGGCAUCGAUGAAGAACGCAGCGAAAUGCGAUAAGUAAUGUGAAUUGCAGAAUUCAGUGAAUCAUCGAAUCUUUGAACGCACAUUGCGCCCGCCAGCAUUCUGGCGGGCAUGCCUGUUCGAGCGUCAUUUCAACCCUCGACACCCCUUCGGGGGAGUCGGCGUUGGGGACCGGCAGCAUACCGCCGGCCCCGAAAUACAGUGGCGGCCCGUCCGCGGCGACCUCUGCGUAGUACUCCAACGCGCACCGGGAACCCGACGCGGCCACGCCGUAAAACACCCAACUUCUGAACGUUGACCUCGGAUCAGGUAGGACUACCCGCUGAACUUAAGCAUAUCAAUAAGCGGAGGAAAAGAAACCAACAGGGAUUGCCCCAGUAAC
rnacentral:rRNA from 1 species